UCCCUGGUGGUCCAGUGGUUAGGACUCCACACUUCCAAUGCAGAGGCCCUGGGUUUGAUCCCUGGUCAGGGAA
rnacentral:tRNA from 1 species